rnacentral:rRNA from 1 species
UACAGAGGGGGCAAGCGUUGUUCGGAAUUACUGGGCGUAAAGGGCGCGUAGGCGGCCUGUUAAGUCGAACGUGAAAUCCCCCGGGCUCAACCCGGGAACUGCGUCCGAUACUGGCAGGCUUGAAUUCGGGAGAGGGAUGUGGAAUUCCAGGUGUAGCGGUGAAAUGCGUAGAUAUCUGGAGGAACACCGGUGGCGAAGGCGGCAUCCUGGACCGAUAUUGACUGAUGCGCGAAAGCCAGGGGAGCAAAACGGGG